rnacentral:lncRNA from 1 species
UUUUAUUCAUUUUUUCUUUCUUUCUUUUCUUCUUCAUCAAUCACAUGCAAAUGAUUGGACAUAUAAUGAAAAAGUAGGACUUAAAUCAAAAACAGCCGUCACUGAACGGAUGCAUCCGCAGACGUUUAAGUGACCGGAUUUACAAGUUUCACGGGUAGAUGCUCUAACAGACCUUAAGUAGGUCGUAAGGUCUAGCUAGCAUUGCGUGCAUUUUUGUGUGUAGCACGUUCCCUAUAUCUCCACUUUCACUUUGGCCUCCGCCCCCGUCGUGGAUUAUCUCCAUCAUCUUCCCGUCCGUAUUGUCAUACGCCGUGUCGCCCGAUUUAGACAUACCGAUGAAUAGAAAAGCGUGCACUAAUCCAUGUUUGCCGUCGUCGACAAGACAAAGCUGCGGCACUGAAAUGGAGCAGGGUUGGCGUCGACGCAGCAGUACGGCAUGCGCCUUGCGGCGGAGGCUACCGUCCGAGCUGCUUGGCGACGUUCAACCAAUUAUGCCAAGCAGGAGCUAGCAUCACAUUACCCCACCCAAGGUGUCCAAGAUCAAUCAAAAUUCCGCAGCUCGUGACCAACACAACACACAUACAGUACGCGCGGCCAACUAAUUAAUCCCCAACUCCGUCUAGAUCAUCCUACUGUACGUUGUCGUACAACGUCAUAGACAUACAUGCAUUAAAGGCAAGAUGCCCCCUCGUCGUAUUGGCAUCCCUUCUUCAGUAACCAUCUUUCUCCUCUCCGUACACC